rnacentral:miRNA from 1 species
AGGAAACAGGGACCCA